ACCUGGCACUUUACUGGCUCAAGCCUUUUGAGCUUAUUCGGACUAGCUUGAUUCAAACUGGGCUUGGCUUGAUAGAACUUGGACUGGACUCACUUCUAUGAGGCUGGUCCAGUUUAAACUUGGACUGGUCAAACUGGAUUGGUUCAACGUUGUAGUGAAUAGCAGAUUUAAGCCUGGGCUUUGUCUCCAGGCAAGCCCACGGGGGGCGGGGGAGGAAGAAAAAUGUUGAUUCAUUUCCUCCAUGUUUGCUCAACAAAGGUUUUUUCUUCCAAACUUAACUGUUUCUUGGUAGAUAUAUCGCUGCCACCAUGACCACUUUUUAACAGAGUUUAAUCCCUCCCUGGUGUGGGAGAAAUUCCAGGAAAACUCUCCUUCCUUUACCAAUGGAAAAGAAGGUGAGAAAACUUGUUAUAUCCCACUCUUCCUCCAAGGAGCUCAGAGCAAUGUGCAUGCUUAUUUUUAUCCUUACAACAACCUGAGGUGGCAUUCAAGCUGGGUCCCAGUGCAAAAGUGACGUCUUGGAGGAGAGAUGAUAAUUCAAAUGUGCAGGACCAAAAUAUCAGAAACAGCUGGAGAAUUUGUUAGCAAUACUCAUUAAGAGAAGACUGUUCUGUUGAAAACAGCCUCCUGAUAUAAUAGGUGAGCAUUUGUACUGCCAAUGAGAUUUGGUGUAAAAUUGGGAGAUGAAAAAUAAUUACACCCAGCAUCUGCAGUCAUCCAUCACACGUAGAAAAUUGCCUGUCAUGAGGGACACUAACAGAAAAGGGGAGAACACUUUUAAAAAGAAAUGUAGCAAUAAACAUUUUAAUAGAUAUUGUAAAACUUUCAAAAACUGCAGCCUAAGACCUUAACACUAAUCUCUCUGUGCUACUUACUCGGAAGAAGUCUGUAGGGGAACAGAGGUGGACAGAAAACCAAUAAGAGGCCUGGAGUUCCUGGUUCAUCUUCAUUCCAGGCUCAUGUUCAAAAUACCCCUCCAUGACAUGAUCCAUUGUUAUUGAAGCCUUACCUAGAUUUUAAACAUCAAAAGAAUAAAGGUAUUGGUGCAGUUUGUAGGGAACAAUUCAGCCAAGGUUAAGCAAUGCUUAUUAAUUUCAGAGGAGAGUUAAUAACAUGCUCAAAUCACUCCCAUUACAGUUUAUAGGACUCAGUGCUUUACUUUGGCUACACUAUGUCCAUUGCUCAUCAAAGGGAUCAAAAUAAUAAUGUCAUUCACAUGCCUAGCCCUCCCUGCACUCUGCACUGGGGUAGUCUGGAUUUUGUAUCUGGGCUAAGAGUGAGGUUGAAGGCCAUGAGUGCACCAUUCUGCCCCACUCCCCAGCUGUCAACACUCGGGCUGUCUGCAGUCCAGGGGUCUAUAGAGCUGGGCAGCAAGAGCACCCAGCAGCAGGGAAAUCCUCUAAUGCACUGUGCUCCUUGUGAAGUGCAUUAUGGGAUAUAGGAAGCCACAGCUUGCUUCCCCCAAGCCCAGCCCCCUUGUCACUCCCAGAGUGCUCGCACACCAGUCAUGUAGGCACAAGAUGUUGGGAAGUCCGGCAGCUGCACCAAUCAUGGGGAGGGGGAGGGAGGCAGGAAGGUUUCUGCCUUCCCCUCAGCGCUCCAGAGGACAGGUAAGUUUUGAUUGUGUGAAUGACCUUAAUACCUUAUCAUCAAACAUGAAGUAUCCUCACAAGGUAGGUGUCUGUGGGAUUACCUUGGUGUAGCUCAGCACAAACCAGUAAUUCAGGGCAGGAGUGCAUUACUAAUAACACAAUAAUGCAGGACUGGGUAAUUUGUGGCCCUUUGACUCCUUGUAGGCCCUCCAAGCUCCCCUAUCCUUACCAGGAUUUGGAAAACCUCAGCUCAUAUUUUGUUUAAAAGUAUGUUACUACUAGCCCUCAUGAUUUCAAAGGUAGGUUUUAAAUGUGAGGACAAAACUUUGCAUGAGAUUUUUAGUGUGGCACAAAUUGCCAGAGUAAUGUCAAAUACUAUUUCCUAUUAUGUACAAUGCAUAAUAUUAAAUAUUACUUGCCCCAAAUGUUCCCUCAAACUUCCAUUUCAUUUUGAUUUAAUUCAUCUGCAAUAUGCAAUCAUGUAUGCCAUUUGAAAUAUCACCAGCUCUUAAACUGCAGAAAACAUUUGAUCCAGAUGCAGACCAGUAUGAACUUCAAAGAUGUUAAAAUUAUGAUGCAAUUAUGCUAGGCGAAGCAAAGUUCUAAUCAGCAUAAUCUCAUAUGAAAAAUGGCUGUAACCUACCUUGUUACAUAUGUGAAAUGUCGAAUUGCUUGACAAAGUGCUGCUGCUCUAGGUUUCUGUUCCUUAUUUGGUGUUCCCCAGAACUGCUUCCCUCUGUACAACCACUCAGGCAGCUUAUUAAAUUUCAUUUCGUUUCAUUUGUUCAUUCAUUUUUGCUCUGCUCUCACUUUGUGAAAAUUGUUGUCUCUGACUAUGAUCCAAGUGCACUUGAAGGGCCAUUGAUUUCACUGGGAGAGAGCUUGGCAUCAUCUGCUGAACUCUUCCACUGGAGACGUUCAGAGUUCUUAAUAUUGACUAGAUUGUGUCCACAAAAUAAGAGAAGUCAGCAAUUUUGUUGAAAUCAAAGGAGGUUACUUUCAAAUUAGUGUGCCUAGGAACAGUGUAGGUUUGGUAAGAGUCUGU